CUACGGGUUGCUCCGGUGAGGAAUAUUGCGCAAUGGACGAAAGUCUGACGCAGCCAUGCCGCGUGCAGGAUGACGGCGCUAUGCGUUGUAAACUGCUUUUAUAUGCCAAGAAACCUUCGGACGUGUCCGAAGCUGACGGUAGCAUAUGAAUAAGCACCGGCUAACUCCGUGCCAGCGGCCGCGGUAAUACGGAGGGUACAAGCGUUAUCCGGAUUUAUUGGGUUUAAAGGGUCCGUAGGCGGAUCAUUAAGUCAGUGGUGAAAGCCGGCAGCUCAACUGUCGAACUACCAUUGAUACUGGUGAUCUUGAAUACGGUUGAAGUUGGCGGAAUAGGUCAUGUAGCGGUGAAAUGCUUAGAUAUGACCUAGAACACCGAUUGCGAAGGCAGCCAACUAAGCCGUUAUUGACGCUGAGGGACGAAAGCGUGGGGAGCGAACAGGAUUAGAUACCCCCGUAGUC
rnacentral:rRNA from 1 species